rnacentral:lncRNA from 1 species
UUGUCCUCGAGUAAACACAAAACUAAAGAUAAUUAUUAACGAGCACAAAAAACACGACUAAGACAGACAAAGUCACUCAAAAGAAACUUUAUGUUAGACAUCUUGCAUUUAUUGCUCAAGAUUAAGAACACAGCGUCAAAUUCAUGAAAUACUUCAAAACUAUAAUGCGGGCGUCAAAUCCUCGCUCAUUCAAUGCAAACGGGUGUGUGUGUGGAGAGUUAAGCAUAACGCUGUACAAUAAUAAGUUGACCCAAUU